GGUGUCUCUCUUUUCCUGCUGCCACCUCAGAUAAUAGGGCAAGGAGAGUUUGCCACGUGUCUUUUAAAUGAUGUUCUGCGUUUCGCUUUCGGCCUUUCUUUAGAUUUUGUGGGCUUUCUACUCAAUCCCGUUAUCCAGCCCGAUACACAGCAAGACCACAAGUUUUAAGGUUCCGGUUCUUCUUCCACAAUGAAUUAGACGUUCUCUUCGUUUUCUUAUACAUCUAUGGAGUUUUAAGAUGUUGAAUCGCUUUGUCAAUCGUCAAUCCUUACGUUUUUUUUCCUCUUCUAAUCAAUGGAAACGUUUCGGGAUCGGAGAUCUAUUCAAGACGAAUCGCGAUGACUAUGAUGAUGAUUCCCUGGAUCGAGAAGUCUUGGUGUUGUUUCAUCUCCGGUUCUUCUCCCCGGAAGUGGUGAUUUCACAUUCAAUGAAUCUUCCCUCUGUUCAAGGCGGUGCAUCUGGAGCUAUAAAAAGAAUGAAACAGAUACCAUGAAUGGUAAUUCAAGGACAGAAUCAGACACUGAGUCUUCAUCAAGUCUUGCGUCCCAAGACCUCCUUGCAGAUUAUUUGCUUCAGAGGUUCUAGAAAUCUGCAGCUUGAUAGAAAAACUCGGAACCUAACAUCACUUAGGAGAGGUGGUAACAGCAGACUCUUAUGACAUUACUGAUGCUGUGGAAACAUGAUUAAAGGAUAUUACUGAAGAAAACAAAUCUCAUCCUUGCCCAACAGAGUGGUUAUUCCGUGUUGAUAUUGUAAUUAAAUGGAAAGAGUCUUCAACGGUUUCAGUGCUGCUCAGAUUUUUAGAGAAUAUCAAGAUGUCUGAUACGGCCUUACUGGGGAGAAGAGCAUUGUAUUUAAGCCAAUAUACUUUGUUUUGGAUCUUCUGGAGAUUCCUUUGUGAAAAAAAGGAAUAUAAUUCUUUUGGUUCAAUGGAAAUUAGCUCAGAAGUACAGUGAGAAAGUGUUGAAGGAUGAAACCACCACAAAACAGUUCUGCUUAUAGUGCUGUUCUUUUCACGGACGCAAGCGUCAGCGGCUGCGGCCAAAAAUUAUCAAACAAGAGUUGAAAGCUGGCGUCGAACUGAAUCUAACCGCAUUUUGACAAGUCUUCUAAACGCAGUAGAAGAGCAAUCAAUCACAUGAGAAUUAAUCGCGUAGGGCAGAAAAGAAUGUCAUGUGGAAGAAGUUUCAUUGUAAAAACCAGGUCAUCUUCUACACUCAUGGGCGUAACAAGAAAAAGAAGAAGAAGAAGAAACCGGAACGUUAUCUUCUUGAUGGACACAGAAAGUUUAUUUAACCGAACUGUUUUUUCUAAGAAACAAGAUGAGAAGAAGGUGGUCAAGUAAGGUGAUGGAAUAAACAAGAUGAGAAGACCGAACUGUUUUUUCUAAGAAACAAGAUGAGAAGAAGGUGGUCAAGUAAAGGUGAUGGAAGAAACAAGAUGAGAAGAAGGUGGUCAAGUAAGGUGAUGGAAGAUCUAACUCCCAUUUUGGAGCUAGAAUAGGAGGAAGCUUUAUGCUUGGAUCAACAAGUUCUGCAACCAAGUCUCCACCCAUAACUGUAAACAAGACAAUCAGUUUUUCUGUUUUUUUUUUCAUUUAUUAUUUGAUCCUAAUAGUCCAGCAACUGCCGUUGCUAUUGACAAAACCUUUUCUUUUGUAUUUCUCAUUCACUAUAAAUUAAAAAAAAAACAAAUUUCUUCUUGAUUUUUCCUUGAUGUUACAGAUUAAAACAGAAGAUUUGUUCUGCUAUGUACAAGCAACUGUUACUUUUAUGU